AAAAAAUUAUGUUCAAAGAUAUUCGCUAAGCGCUAAUCAGAUGCUCGGGCAAGGUUGUUAACAAUUUUCUUUAUUUUAUUUUAUUUUUUAUUAUUUUUUUAAUAUCAAGAGGUUUUGGGCCGAGACACGUAAUCUCCAAAGUCCGUAACAAUUUUCUUUAUUUAUCUUUCAAAAUAAUGAACAUGUCGAGAUAUUUUCAUGUAUAUCUUUUUUUAUGAGAUGACAAUGAACAAAGAGACUGAGACAUUCAUUUGAGUUUGGUGAGAUAUAUAAUUAAGAAA
rnacentral:sRNA from 1 species